UGCUGACGAGCGGCGGACGGGUGAGUAACGCGUAGGAAUCUACCCAGUAGCGGGGGAUAGCUCGGGGAAACUCGAAUUAAUACCGCAUACGCCCUAAGGGGGAAAGCAGGGGAUCUUCGGACCUUGCACUAUUGGAUGAGCCUGCGUUGGAUUAGCUAGUUGGUGAGGUAAAAGCUCACCAAGGCGACGAUCCAUAGCUGGUCUGAGAGGAUGAUCAGCCACACUGGGACUGAGACACGGCCCAGACUCC
rnacentral:rRNA from 1 species